rnacentral:rRNA from 1 species
AUUGAACGCUGGCGGCAUGCUUUACACAUGCAAGUCGAACGGGGUGAGGAGCUUGCUCCUCAUCUAGUGGCGAACGGGUGAGUAAUACAUCGGAACGUACCGUGUAGUGGGGGAUAACGUAGCGAAAGUUACGCUAAUACCGCAUACGAUCCACGGAUGAAAGCAGGGGACCUUCGGGCCUUGUGCUAUACGAGCGGCCGAUGUCUGAUUAGCUAGUUGGUGGGGUAAAGGCCCACCAAGGCAACGAUCAGUAGCGGGUCUGAGAGGAUGAUCCGCCACACUGGGACUGAGACACGGCCCAGACUCCUACGGGAGGCAGCAGUGGGGAAUUUUGGACAAUGGGCGCAAGCCUGAUCCAGCCAUGCCGCGUGUCUGAAGAAGGCCUUCGGUUGUAAGGACGUUU